AUGAACGCUAGCUACAGGCUUAACACAUGCAAGUCGAGGGGCAGCAUGGUCUUAGCUUGCUAAGACUGAUGGCGACCGGCGCACGGGUGAGUAACACGUAUCCAACCUGCCGUCUACUCUUGGACAGCCUUCUGAAAGGAAGAUUAAUACAAGAUGGCAUCAUGAGUCCGCAUGUUCACAUGAUUAAAGGUAUUCCGGUAGACGAUGGGGAUGCGUUCCAUUAGAUAGUAGGCGGGGUAACGGCCCACCUAGUCUUCGAUGGAUAGGGGUUCUGAGAGGAAGGUCCCCCACAUUGGAACUGAGACACGGUCCAAACUCCUACGGGAGGCAGCAGUGAGGAAUAUUGGUCAAUGGGCGAGAGCCUGAACCAGCCAAGUAGCGUGAAGGAUGACUGCCCUAUGGGUUGUAAACUUCUUUUAUAAAGGAAUAAAGUCGGGUAUGGAUACCCGUUUGCAUGUACUUUAUGAAUAAGGAUCGGCUAACUCCGUGCCAGCAGCCGCGGUAAUACGGAGGAUCCGAGCGUUAUCCGGAUUUAUUGGGUUUAAAGGGAGCGUAGAUGGAUGUUUAAGUCAGUUGUGAAAGUUUGCGGCUCAACCGUAAAAUUGCAGUUGAUACUGGAUAUCUUGAGUGCAGUUGAGGCAGGCGGAAUUCGUGGUGUAGCGGUGAAAUGCUUAGAUAUCACGAAGAACUCCGAUUGCGAAGGCAGCCUGCUAAGCUGCAACUGACAUUGAGGCUCGAAAGUGUGGGUAUCAAACAGGAUUAGAUACCCUGGUAGUCCACACGGUAAACGAUGAAUACUCGCUGUUUGCGAUAUACUGCAAGCGGCCAAGCGAAAGCGUUAAGUAUUCCACCUGGGGAGUACGCCGGCAACGGUGAAACUCAAAGGAAUUGACGGGGGCCCGCACAAGCGGAGGAACAUGUGGUUUAAUUCGAUGAUACGCGAGGAACCUUACCCGGGCUUAAAUUGCAGAUGAAUUACGGUGAAAGCCGUAAGCCGCAAGGCAUCUGUGAAGGUGCUGCAUGGUUGUCGUCAGCUCGUGCCGUGAGGUGUCGGCUUAAGUGCCAUAACGAGCGCAACCCUUGUUGUCAGUUACUAACAGGUUCCGCUGAGGACUCUGACAAGACUGCCAUCGUAAGAUGUGAGGAAGGUGGGGAUGACGUCAAAUCAGCACGGCCCUUACGUCCGGGGCUACACACGUGUUACAAUGGGGGGUACAGAGGGCCGCUACCACGCGAGUGGAUGCCAAUCCCAAAAACCUCUCUCAGUUCGGACUGGAGUCUGCAACCCGACUCCACGAAGCUGGAUUCGCUAGUAAUCGCGCAUCAGCCACGGCGCUGUGAAUACGUUCCCGGGCCUUGUACACACCGCCCGUCAAGCCAUGGGAGCCGGGGGUACCUGAAGUGCGUAACCGCGAGGAGCGCCCUAGGGUAAAACUGGUGACUGGGGCU
rnacentral:rRNA from 1 species